AGCGUGCGUGCGACAAGGAACGUUCUUUGGUGUUGCUUUAACUUAUUAAUCAUAAGUGAUGCGAUCUAGGAAAACCCACCACAUGGUGCAAUUUUACCAACUUAUGAUUCUAAUACCAUCCUAGAUGGGAGGAUGGUAUCCUGGAUUUUGCUAGGAGACAAUAUCCAGAAUGUUGCUAGGAUGGUUUCAGAAUCUUAAAUUGGUGAAAUUUCACUAGAGAGAGUAAAAAGGGAUUUUUGAGUGCACCGUGUGGUGGGUUUUCCUAGAUCGUAUCACAUAUGUAUAACUGUGUAUGAAUUAUCAACUAAUAAGUAUGGGGAAUGAAUGAAAGAAUGGAUGGAUAUGCCUACACUCACAUACUGUAGGGCUUAUCUGCAUGCCUUAUGUGCCCACUGCAGUGUGAUGAAACUGCUUUCGUACCUUAUGCGCCGAUGUGUCUUCCUACUGUUGUUUUACCUUUCCCUUGUCUCAAGCACCCGGCCACACACUUACCGCAGUCCCCAUAGAAUGGGCAUGUUGGAACACAUGAAGUAUGCUAGUGACAGAUGCCGUGUUUGUACAGGAAUUCCUCACAUAAUUAUGGAUUUGUUCGGUCUUCCAUGUGCUUUUUGGAAAUUAAACAUGGCGAAAAAGCAUGUGCGAAUAGGCACAAUAGAUUGCCAUAAACAAAUGUUAAAUAAAUGUUGUAACUAAUCAUAUUGAACUUGAAUCAUAUUUGUCAUUACUGCCUAACACCUUUUUAACAACGUAAAGAUACAGUAUAUUAUGGGAAAAACUGGUGAAAUAAAAAUGCUGUACUCAAGCUUUCAUUAGAA